AGUUGUUUCUGAGUCCUGGUUGUAGAACUGUUCAUAUCACCUUUGGGAUCCCUUGCAGCUGAAGCAGAAAUUACAUGCUUCUCAGCAGAAGGCAACUCUGUUCCUGACUCACUGCGGAGGCUUUGCUGACCCAAGCGGAGGCAGAGAAAUACCUUGCAGAAGUUCAAGCCCAGGAGCAGCAAUGUUGAGCGCAAAAGGAGAGAUGACAAAAGGGAGCUUUCUUUGCCAUUGUAGUUAAAAGCAAUGUGACUGCUCUUCGCACAAGUGGAAAAGAAUUACUUUGAAAGUAAGAUGAAGGUAGACAGAAUAACUAUGGUGAGAGAAAUCAUCAUAGAAGAAAAUAGACAUCUGAAGCAUGAAAGGAAUUAAAUGAAGCACCAGCUGAAAGAAGGAAUGAAGGAAAGUUCCAAAUUGAAAGAAAAAGAAGUAUCUCAACGAUGCAGAGAGGCAGCACUGAAGAGGCUUUAGAGAAAGCUACCAUGCCUAAGUAUGAGGCCAAAAGGUGGAAUGCUUACUGGAAUGUGACAGAAGAGAAGAGGAGAGAAUGUGAUUUAUGGAUGAACACGUAAUGUUCCUGAGAUCCCAAGAGGAGAAAACAGACAGAUAAAAAAAUUAGUAUACCAUGGAUAUACAAUAUACAAUCAAUUAAAUACCAUCUUGACAAAAGAUUUUUUUAAAUAUUCUUUCCUGUGUGCUCAAAGGAUGUUUUAGAAACCUUUAGCAGCAUUAGGCAGAAGGUCACACUAGAUGGUCAUAAUGUUCCCUUCUGGUCUUAAAAUGUAUGAAUCUCUGAAGGCAAAAACAGGAAGUGCUUGGCAGACAAGAAGUUGGGGAGUGGUUCAAGAUCACAUGAAAACUGGGAGGAAGAGGAAAUGAAGGGAGCAAGAACGAGAAAAGAUUGGGAGGCAUAUGAGGGGUGGUAGGAAAGAUUAUGGAUGUUCAAAAAUUUUAAGUAACACUUAACAU